GUGAUUUGCCAGGAGGAACAUUUCCAUAGAGAGACACUUUGCAUUGGCAUCACAUGCUUCAGUGCUCUGGGAGUGUUUAUAGCCCUGUGAGUUGAACACUUCAUGACUGAGAGCUGUAUUUCCUUUGAACAGAAACCACGGCAACCAUGACUUUCAUCACCAUCUUCAUCUGGACUCUGGUCUGUUACGCACAAGGGUCUUGGGGCCAGUAUGUAUUGACUCAGUCUGCAGCUCAAUCAGUCCAGCCUGGUCAAACUGUCUCUAUUGACUGUAGCGCCAGUAGUAAAGUUUCUCAGUACUCUGGCUCACAGUAUUACCUGGCCUGGUACCAUCAGACGUCUGGAGAAGCUUCUAAACUCAUGAUAAAAUAUAUUAUGUUAUGACUGACUAAGCUGUUACAAAUGUUUGCUUGAAUCAUUGACAACAGUUCUGAAGAAUGCACACGAGAGCGAAUUCAGUCAGUUUAUUAGAAAUGAAUGGUGGCAAAGAUGCAAAUAGUUAAUGAGCCAAAAACAUCAGUAUUGAUUCUCAAUAGUGGAAAAGUGAAAUAGUCCAUUCCAUUGAAAACAUUAUUUCUCUAUAAUAAUGAGAUUGAUUACCUGUAGUGAAUUUGAUCACUGAUUUAGACGGAUGCAGUACCAUCUAACUCACUGCUAAACCACUGUUACAGAGACCUUCAGUGGUAAGAUCUUUAGAGAGUGGAAUUCACAGUAAUUACCAAUAAAUGGAGAGACUCUCUCUGUGAAAUGUUGUGUGAA